rnacentral:rRNA from 1 species
GGCGAACGCUGGCGGCGUGCUUAACACAUGCAAGUCGAACGGAAAGGCCCUGCUUUUGUGGGGUGCUCGAGUGGCGAACGGGUGAGUAACACGUGAGUAACCUGCCCUUGACUUUGGGAUAACUUCAGGAAACUGGGGCUAAUACCGGAUAGGAGCUCCUGCUGCAUGGUGGGGGUUGGAAAGUUUCGGCGGUUGGGGAUGGACUCGCGGCUUAUCAGCUUGUUGGUGGGGUAGUGGCUUACCAAGGCUUUGACGGGUAGCCGGCCUGAGAGGGUGACCGGCCACAUUGGGACUGAGAUACGGCCCAGACUCCUACGGGAGGCAGCAGUGGGGAAUAUUGCACAAUGGGCGGAAGCCUGAUGCAGCAACGCCGCGUGCGGGAGGACGGCCUUCGGGUUGUAAACCGCUUUCGCCUGUGACGAAGCGUGAGUGACGGUAAUGGGUAAAGAAGCACCGGCUAACUACGU